CAGUCGCCGCGGUAAAACGGAGGGUGCAAGCGUUAUCCGGAUUUAUUGGGUUUAAAGGGUCCGUAGGCGGAUCUGUAAGUCAGUGGUGAAAUCUCACAGCUUAACUGUGAAACUGCCAUUGAUACUGCAGGUCUUGAGUAAAUUUGAAGUGGCUGGAAUAAGUAGUGUAGCGGUGAAAUGCAUAGAUAUUACUUAGAACACCAAUUGCGAAGGCAGGUCACUAAGAUUUAACUGACGCUGAUGGACGAAAGCGUGGGGAGCGAACAGGAUUAGAUACCCCCGUAGUCCCUGUCUCUUAUAC
rnacentral:rRNA from 1 species